AGCCCCGUACACAAAAAUGCACAUGCUGUGAGCUCGAUGAGUAGGGCGGGACACGUGGUAUCCUGUCUGAAUAUGGGGGGACCAUCCUCCAAGGCUAAAUACUCCUGACUGACCGAUAGUGAACCAGUACCGUGAGGGAAAGGCGAAAAGAACCCCGGCGAGGGGAGUGAAAAAGAACCUGAAACCGUGUACGUACAAGCAGUGGGAGCACAGAGCAAUCUGUGUGACUGCGUACCUUUUGUAUAAUGGGUCAGCGACUUAUAUUCUGUAGCAAGGUUAACCGAAUAGGGGAGCCGAAGGGAAACCGAGUCUUAACUGGGCGUUAAGUUGCAGGGUAUAGACCCGAAACCCGGUGAUCUAGCCAUGGGCAGGUUGAAGGUUGGGUAACACUAACUGGAGGACCGAACCGACUAAUGUUGAAAAAUUAGCGGAUGACUUGUGGCUGGGGGUGAAAGGCCAAUCAAACCGGGAGAUAGCUGGUUCUCCCCGAAAGCUAUUUAGGUAGCGCCUCGUGAAUUCAUCUCCGGGGGUAGAGCACUGUUUCGGCAAGGGGGUCAUCCCGACUUACCAACCCGAUGCAAACUGCGAAUACCGGAGAAUGUUAUCACGGGAGACACACGGCGGGUGCUAACGUCCGUCGUGAAGAGGGAAACAACCCAGACCGCCAGCUAAGGUCCCAAAGUCAUGGUUAAGUGGGAAACGAUGUGGGAAGGCCCAGACAGCCAGGAUGUUGGCUUAGAAGCAGCCAUCAUUUAAAGAAAGCGUAAUAGCUCACUGGUCGAGUCGGCCUGCGCGGAAGAUGUAACGGGGCUAAACCAUGCACCGAAGCUGCGGCAGCGACACUGUGUGUUGUUGGGUAGGGGAGCGUUCUGUAAGCCUGUGAAGGUGUGCUGUGAGGCAUGCUGGAGGUAUCAGAAGUGCGAAUGCUGACAUAAGUAACGAUAAAGCGGGUGAAAAGCCCGCUCGCCGGAAGACCAAGGGUUCCUGUCCAACGUUAAUCGGGGCAGGGUGAGUCGACCCCUAAGGCGAGGCCGAAAGGCGUAGUCGAUGGGAAACAGGUUAAUAUUCCUGUACUUGGUGUUACUGCGAAGGGGGGACGGAGAAGGCUAUGUUGGCCGGGCGACGGUUGUCCCGGUUUAAGCGUGUAGGCUGGUUUUCCAGGCAAAUCCGGAAAAUCAAGGCUGAGGCGUGAUGACGAGGCACUACGGUGCUGAAGCAACAAAUGCCCUGCUUCCAGGAAAAGCCUCUAAGCAUCAGGUAACAUCAAAUCGUACCCCAAACCGACACAGGUGGUCAGGUAGAGAAUACCAAGGCGCUUGAGAGAACUCGGGUGAAGGAACUAGGCAAAAUGGUGCCGUAACUUCGGGAGAAGGCACGCUGAUAUGUAGGUGAAGUCCCUCGCGGAUGGAGCUGAAAUCAGUCGAAGAUACCAGCUGGCUGCAACUGUUUAUUAAAAACACAGCACUGUGCAAACACGAAAGUGGACGUAUACGGUGUGACGCCUGCCCGGUGCCGGAAGGUUAAUUGAUGGGGUCAGCGCAAGCGAAGCUCUUGAUCGAAGCCCCGGUAAACGGCGGCCGUAACUAUAACGGUCCUAAGGUAGCGAAAUUCCUUGUCGGGUAAGUUCCGACCUGCACGAAUGGCGUAAUGAUGGCCAGGCUGUCUCCACCCGAGACUCAGUGAAAUUGAACUCGCUGUGAAGAUGCAGUGUACCCGCGGCAAGACGGAAAGACCCCGUGAACCUUUACUAUAGCUUGACACUGAACAUUGAGCCUUGAUGUGUAGGAUAGGUGGGAGGCUUUGAAGUGUGGACGCCAGUCUGCAUGGAGCCGACCUUGAAAUACCACCCUUUAAUGUUUGAUGUUCUAACGUGGACCCGUGAUCCGGGUUGCGGACAGUGUCUGGUGGGUAGUUUGACUGGGGCGGUCUCCUCCUAAAGAGUAACGGAGGAGCACGAAGGUUGGCUAAUCCUGGUCGGACAUCAGGAGGUUAGUGCAAUGGCAUAAGCCAGCUUGACUGCGAGCGUGACGGCGCGAGCAGGUGCGAAAGCAGGUCAUAGUGAUCCGGUGGUUCUGAAUGGAAGGGCCAUCGCUCAACGGAUAAAAGGUACUCCGGGGAUAACAGGCUGAUACCGCCCAAGAGUUCAUAUCGACGGCGGUGUUUGGCACCUCGAUGUCGGCUCAUCACAUCCUGGGGCUGAAGUAGGUCCCAAGGGUAUGGCUGUUCGCCAUUUAAAGUGGUACGCGAGCUGGGUUUAGAACGUCGUGAGACAGUUCGGUCCCUAUCUGCCGUGGGCGCUGGAGAACUGAGGGGGGCUGCUCCUAGUACGAGAGGACCGGAGUGGACGCAUCACUGGUGUUCGGGUUGUCAUGCCAAUGGCACUGCCCGGUAGCUAAAUGCGGAAGAGAUAAGUGCUGAAAGCAUCUAAGCACGAAACUUGCCCCGAGAUGAGUUCUCCCUGACCCUUUAAGGGUCCUGAAGGAACGUUGAAGACGACGACGUUGAUAGGCCGGGUGUGUAAGCGCAGCGAUGCGUUGAGCUAACCGGUACUAAUGAACCGUGAGGCUUAACCUUACAACGCCGAAGGUGUUU
rnacentral:rRNA from 1 species